GAGAGGGUAGAGGUGAGAGAGAGGGUAGAGGUGAGAGAGAGGGUAGAGGUGAGAGAGAGGGUAGAGGUGAGAGAGAGGGUAGAGGUGAGAGAGAGGACAGAGGGUAGAGAUGAGAGAGAGGACAGAGGGUAGAGAUGAGUGAGAGGACAGAGGGUAGAGAUGAGUGAGAGGACAGAGGGUAGAGAUGAGUGAGAGGACAGAGGGUAGAGAUGAGUGAGAGGACAGAGGGUAGAGAUGAGUGAGAGGACAGAGGGUAGAGAUGAGUGAGAGGACAGAGGGUAGAGAUGAGUGAGAGGACAGAGGGUAGAGAUGAGUGAGAGGACAGAGGGUAGAGAUGAGUGAGAGGACAGAGGGUAGAGAUGAGUGAGAGGACAGAGGGUAGAGAUGAGUGAGAGGACAGAGGGUAGAGAUGAGUGAGAGGACAGAGGGUAGAGAUGAGUGAGAGGACAGAGGGUAGAGAUGAGUGAGAGGACAGAGGGUAGAGAUGAGUGAGAGGACAGAGGGUAGAGAUGAGUGAGAGGACAGAGGGUAGAGAUGAGUGAGAGGACAGAGGGUAGAGAUGAGUGAGAGGACAGAGGGUAGAGAUGAGUGAGAGGACAGAUAUAUA